GACCAAUCAGAACGCAGGAGGCGUCGGUAGUUGCCAAUAGGAAAAUUCUAGGGUUAGGCAAGAAUUCUGGCGGCUGUGCGGCCGGAAAAAGCAACAAAAACGCGGGAAAGAAAAGCGGCGAGAGAUGGAGCCCACAGCGAUGUACUACAUACUUGAGUUUAUUCUCACAACAACCAUUGUGAGAGAGAAAUGACUGGCCCAGAGUCACCCAGCUAGUAUGACUGAAUGGGGAUUUGAAUUCGGGUCUCCCCGGUCCUAGUCCAGCACUCUAACCACCACACCACGCUGGAUCAACUGUAUGUACAGGUGUCUGUACACAGAGCCCACUUGGUCAGUUGCAGCAGAUGACUGUUGGAUGGAGACAGUCGCUUGUGUCGUCACAUGCCGCGGAAGAACAAGUUGGGACUUGCCAGGCUGGGUCUCAGUGACACUCCUGGCACAGCAUGGCACGGAAGAGGCAUGAAAGGAGGACCACUGCUGGCGAAGCAGGCGGGCGCCUGUGUCCAUUUGAUAUUGUUUGCA